UUAUAGGCGAAAAUAGAGGAGAGUAAAUAUAGUGAAAAUUAUAGCGAACUAGGGAUGGUGGAAGCCUAGGAAUAGAAGCAAUAUUGAAGAUCACCUCUUAGCUAUUUUUUUGAAAUUCAAGUAGAAAGAAUCGGCCACAGACCGUUAUCCUGUAUUGAGUGGCAUAUUAUUAUAUGCUAAUUAGGGUGGUACCGCGAUUAUAAUCUCGUCCCUUCU
rnacentral:ncRNA from 1 species